rnacentral:lncRNA from 9 species
GAAACAUGGAGUGAGGACGGGGCUGCUGGUUGAGAGGGGCUGGUCUAGGCCAAUACUCUGCUCUUCUGUGCUAAGGACUGGAUUCGGGAUGAGGGACAGGGGAGGAGGAUGGGCGCCACAAGCAGCCCCGGAAAUUGACGGCAUCUCAGGCACACGUUCAGGCGGCCGUGCAUCUUUCAGCAAAUGUUUACCCUGCACAGCUCCGUGCAGACACCGCGCUAGGUGUGUAAAUACAGCCGUGAACAAGAUGGUAGCCCUGGCUUUUCACUUUCUUCUUCUUCUUCUUUUUUGUCUUUUUGCCUUUUCUAGGGCCGCUCCCAUGGCACAUGGAGGUUCCGGGGCUAGGGGUCUAAUCAGAGCUGUAACCACCAGCCUCCGCCAGAGUCCACAGCAACGCCAGAUCUGAGCCCUUUCUGUGACCUACACCACAGCUCACGGCAUCACUGGAUCCUUAACCCACUGAGCAAGGCCAGGGAUGGAACCCGCAACCUCAUGGUUCCUGGUCAGAUUCGUUAACCACUGAGCCACGACGGGAACUCCCUUCACUUUCUUUUUAACAUAAGCCACUUUGUUUUAUUUUGGCUUUUUUGGCCACAGCUGUGACUUAUGGAAGCGUCCGGACCAGGGAUCGAACCAGUACCACAACAGCGAACUGAGCCACAGCAGUAACACAACGGACCCUUAAAACUAGCCAUUUUAUCAUCUAUUUUUUUUUUUUUUUUUUUUUUUUUUUAUCUUUUGGCCGUUCUGCAGCACAUGGACUUCCCAGGCCAGGGACUGAAUCUUAGCCAGAGUUUUGACCCACACCCCAGCUGCGGCGGCAACGCCAGAUCCUUAACCCUCUACACCAGGCCUGGGAACAAACCCAAGUCCCUGCCACUCCAGAGAUGCCGCUGAUCCCAUUGCACUACAGGGGGAACUCCCCCAACUAGCCACCUUAUUGUGUGCAAUUCAGCAGCAUCAAGUAUAUUUACAUAGUUGUGAAAUCAUUUUCACCAACCAUCUCAAAAACAUUUUUCUCUUUCCCCCAAAGGAAACCCUGUAGGUUUCAAGCAAUCGGUCCAGCCCCGCUCCACCCGCAUCCUGGCAACCACUAGUCUACUUUCUGUUUCUGCGGAUUUGCCUCUUCCGGACAUUUCAAAUAAAUAGAAUCAUUCAAUAUGUGGACUUUUGUGCUGGCUUCUUUCUCUUAGCUUAAUAUUUUCCAGAUUCAUCCACACUGUAGCCUGUGUCAGUAUGUCAUUCCUUUUUAUGGCUGAGUAAUAUUCUAUUGUGUGGGUGUUCAGUCUUUUUUUUUUUUUUUUUUAAUCACUGGACUUUACAGCUGGGAAUCCAGCUAUUCCUCAUUCCCAAGAAAGGAAGAACUCCUGGGAGUUUCCUGAACUGGGGAAGCAGAAGAGUGGGAAGGACCUUGAGAGAACAUUGUCAAUCAACUAUAAUUUUUUUUUUUUUUUUUGUCUUUUUGCCUUUUCUAGGGCCACUCCUGAGGCACAUGGAGGUUCCCAGGCCAGGGGUCUAAUCGGAGCUGGAGCCGCCGGCCUACGCCAGAGCCACAGCAACGUGGGAUCCGAGCUGCGUCUGCAACCUACACCACGCUCACGGCAAUGCCAGAUCCUUAACCCACUGAGCAAGGCCAGGGAUCAAACCCGCAACCUCAUGGUUCCUAGUCGGAUUCGUUAACCACUGCGCCACGGUGGAAACUCCAAUCAAGUAUAAUUUAAAAAAAAAAGAAAGAAAAAAAGAGUUGGAAGGACUUUAAAUUAUAUAAUCAAGGAGUUCUCGCUGUGGCUCAGAGGUAAUGAACUUGACUAGUAUCCACGAGGAAGUGAGGCCGACCCUGGCCCCACUUAGUGGAUUGAGGAUCUGGGGUUGCUGUGAGCUGUGGUGUAGGCUUAGAAACUUCCAUAGGCCAUGGGUGUGGCCCUAAAAAGACAAAAAAGUUACACAGUCAAAAUUGCUGCUUCUGCAGAGCCAACUUGCCUGCCCUCACAAGCGUCUACUCUAAAUAAAUCUAUUUCUUAC